UCACAGGUGAAACACAAUCGCCUCGUACAGGAGAUGAACCAUCCAACAGCAGGACGCAUCGCUGUCGUCGGUCCGGCGGUUCGUUUCAGCAGCUUCUCUCCAAGCGGCCCGACACCCCCUCCUCUGAUUGGCCAGCACACCGUAGAGGUGCUGCGAGACGUCUUAUCGUACAGCAAUGAAGUUAUAGAAACCCUGCUGGAGUCAAAAGCAGUGGUUCAGAAUGAAGUCUUGUGAUUGGCCGAAAGAAAAAUAAUUAACAAGAGAAAGGAAAAGACAAAAACUGAUCAUUUUUACCUGAUCACUAGUUUUGAUUUUAAAGGACUGAUCAUUAAACAUUUAGAUUUCAGCUGACGAUAAGUUCAUAUUUCCAUUUUUAAAUGUAUUUUUUAAUGAUUUAUGAACAAUUUCUGUAUACGGAGUGUUUUUACACAAAUAUGAAGCUGAUUCUUCUAACAUCUUUGUGUUUUAUGACUCUACAGUAACAAUUCAGUAACUCUACAGAAUUCUACAGUAACACUACAGUAACACUACAGUAACUCUACAGAACUCUACAGUAACUCUACAUAACUCUAUAGUAAGACUACAGUAACUCUACAGUAAGUCUACAGUAACACUACAGUAACUCUACAGAACUCUACAGUAACACUACAGUAACUCUACAGAAUUCUACAGUAACACUACAGUAACUCUACAGUAACUCUACAGAACUCUAUAGUAAGACUACAGUAACUCUACAGUAACUCUACAGAAUUCUACAGUAACUCUACAUAACUCUAUAGUAAGACUACAGUAACUCUAUAGUAACACUACAGUAACUCUACAGUAACUCUACAUAAUUCUAUAGUAACUCUACAGUAACAUUACAGAACUCUACAGUAACAAGUCAGUAACUCUACAGAAUUCUACAGUAACACUACAGUAACACUACAGUAACACUACAGUAACUCUACAGAACUCUAUAGUAACUCUACAUAACUCUAUAGUAAGACUACAGUAACUCUAUAGUAACACUACAGUAACUCUACAGUAACUCUACAUAAUUCUAUAGUAACUCUACAGUAACAUUACAGAACUCUACAGUAACACUACAGUAACUCUACAGAAUUCUACAGUAACACUACAGUAACUCUACAGUAACUCUACAGUAACUCUACAGUAACUCUACAGUCAUACUGUUCUAACUCUACAGGACACUGAUGAUUUUUGUCAGAUGUUCAGGUCAGUGUUUGAAACAACACGCUACAAAAUACCAAAGAAAGAUCACACCAUCAUGACCUUAUAAAAUGUUUCUCAAAGCAAAAUAUGUUUAUUGCACCUUAGAGCUGUUUAUGAACUUGCUUUUAAAUAAAACUUUUGAAUCAUUUUA